GCUGGCGGCGGGUGAGUAAUACUUAUGAAUCUACCCAGUAGCGGGGGACAACUCGAGGAAACUCGAGCUAAUACCGCAUACGCCUUACGGGGGAAAGCAGGGGAUCUUUCGGACCUUGCACUAUUGGAUGAGCUUAAGUCGGAUUAGCUUGUUGGUGAGGUAAAAGCACACCAAGGGCGACGAUCCGUAGCUGGUCUGAGAAGGACGAUCAGCCACACUGGGACUGAGACACGGCCCAGACUCCUACGGGAGGCAGCAGUGGGGAAUAUUGGACAAUGGGGGCAACCCUGAUCCAGCAAUGCCGCGUGUGUGAAGAAGGCCUGCGGGUUGUAAAGCACUUUCAGUAGAGAAGAAAAAGCCUACGGUUAAUACCCGUGAGUCUUGACGUUACCUACAGAAGAAGCUCCGGCUAACUCCGUGCCAGCAGCCGCGGUAAUACGGAGGGGAGCGAGCGUUAAUCGGAAAUUACUGGGCGUAAAAGCGCGCGUAGGCGGCUUUGUAAGCCGGAUGUGAAAGCCCUGGGCUUAACCUGGGAAUGGCAUUCGAUACUGCAUAGCUAGAGUAUGGUAGAGGGUGGUGGAUUUUCCGGUGUAGCGGUGAGAUGCGUAGAUAUCGGUAGGAACACCAGUGGCGUAGGCGACUUCCUGGGCCGGUACUGACGCUGAGGUGCGUGGGCGUGAAUGCGGGCGGGAUUAGUUACCCUGGUACUCCACGCCGUA
rnacentral:rRNA from 1 species